rnacentral:rRNA from 1 species
UCACACCACCCAAUUUACCCAGAAUGUUCCCGAUCUCGGCAGACCUAAGAAUCUAAGCAAAGUUCAGCCUGGUUGGUGCUUGGAUGGGUGACCAUCAGGGCUUGCCAGGUGUUGUAGGCC